rnacentral:rRNA from 1 species
GAUGAACGCUGGCGGCGUGCCUAAUACAUGCAAGUCGAGCGAACGGACGAGAAGUUUGCUUCUCUGAUGUUAGCGGCGGACGGGAGAGUAACAUGUGUAUAACCUACCUAUCAGACUGGGAUAAUUACGGGAAACCGGAUCUUAUACCGGAUGAUAUUUUGCACCGCAUUGUUCAAAAGUGAAAGUCGGUCUUUCUGUCACUAAUAGAUGGAUCCGCGCUGCAUUAGCUAGUUGGUAAGGUAACGGCUUACCAAGGCUACGAUGCAUAGCCGACCUGAGAGCGUGGUUGGCCACACGGGAACUGAGACAGGGUCCAGGCUCCUACGGUAGGCAGCAGUAGGGAAUCUUACGCAAUGGGCGAGAGCCUGACGGAGCAACGCCGCGUGAGUGAUGAAGGUCUUCGGAUCGGAAAACUCUGUUAUUAGUGGAGAACAUAUGUGUAAGUAACUGUGCAGAUCUUGACGGUACCUAGUCAAAAAGCCACGGCUAACUACGUG